CGAGGAACGUGCCAUACUAAUGGAGGAGGCGCACAAAUCGAGUUUCUUGAUCCAUCCUAGGGCCACUAAGAUGUAUUUGGACCAGAAGAGAAAGUAUUGGUGGCCCUGUAUGAAGAGGGAUGUUGCAUGGUUUGUUGAGAGGUGCUUGACCUGUCGCAAGGUUAAGGCCGAGCCCCAGCAUCUGCAUGGCAAGUUGCAGCCACUUGAGGUUCCCCAGUGGAAGUGGGAACAGAUAUCUAUGGAUUUCAUCACCAAAAACUACUAGAAAAAUAACCUUUUACGACGCUCAUUG
rnacentral:lncRNA from 1 species